UUACGCUGUUAUCCCUAAGGUAAUUUAGUCUUCUAAUCAUAACAUACGGGAUCAAUUAACCACAAAUAUGUGUACUUUAUAAAAAAGAGUUAAUUAUAUCUUCUCAUCACCCCAACAAAAUAAUUUCAAAAAUUAAGACAGUAGUCCAACCAAUUUAAUUUAUAAAAUUAUAAAACUCUAUAGGGUCUUCUCGUCCCAUAAAAUUAUUUAAGCUUUCUUACUCAAUAAUUAAAUUCAAUUUUGUCAGAAUAAGACAGUAGUUAUUUCGUCCCACCUUUCAUUCCAGCCUCCAAUUAAAAGACUAAUGAUUAUGCUACCUUUGCACGGUCAGUAUACCGCGGCCAUUUAAUUAAAUCAUAGGGCAGGCAAUACGUUCAUACUCUGUCAAUGAAGCGAUGUUUUUGUUAAACAGGCG
rnacentral:rRNA from 1 species